rnacentral:rRNA from 1 species
GGAGGAAAGCAGGGGAUCGUAAGACCUUGCGCUUUUGGAGUGGCCGAUGCCUGAUUAGCUAGUUGGUGGGGUAAGAGCCUACCAAGGCGACGAUCAGUAGUUGGUCUGAGAGGACGACCAGCCACACUGGGACUGAGACACGGCCCAGACUCCUACGGGAGGCAGCAGUGGGGAAUUUUGGACAAUGGGCGAAAGCCUGAUCCAGCAAUGCCGCGUGAGUGAAGAAGGCCUUCGGGUUGUAAAGCUCUUUCAGUCGAGAAGAAAAGGUUGCGACUAAUAAUCGCAACUUAUGACGGUAUCGACAGAAGAAGCACCGGCUAACUACGUGCCAGCAGCCGCGGUAAUACGUAGGGUGCGAGCGUUAAUCGGAAUUACUGGGCGUAAAGGGUGCGCAGGCGGCUCUGUAAGUCAGAUGUGAAAUCCCCGGGCUUAACCUGGGAAU